CUGUGUUUUAAUGGCAAGAACGCGUGGAGUCACAUGCUUUCAAACCAAUUAGCAAUACAGAUGAGCUAGCAAAUCAAGUUCCAUUUAUAGGGUGGGGGGAGGGGAGAAGUCAAAUAAUCUGUGUUUUUAAGUGUUUCUGAGAAAUGAAGACCUCCGGGGCAGAGAGAAGGCGGAUCAGGAAAUAGCUAUGCAAAUCACAUGCCAAUGAAAUUACUAAAACUUUGAUCGGGGGCAUUAACAAUCGCUCCAGCAUUCACAAGUAUGAAACAAAGCGUGAGUAAGACUGGGCAUGUUUUGGAAGGGAUUACAAGAGUGUUUACUUACAUGGUUUGUUGAGCAGUCAAUGAAGUCCACGGCUGUUUGGACGUAAGCUGCCCAAGCAGUCCAGAAAAGGACCCUUGCGAAGGCAACUGGCAGAACAAUUGUGGAACAUGAGAGCACUCUUGCAGCGGGGGUUGUUUGUGUUUUUGUCUUACCUGGCGUCUUGCUUCCAAGUCAUCGCUUACGUCGGAAGGUCCCACAGAUGGAGGCAGGCUCCUCAGUGGCCCCAGGUGCUCGUGUCUCCGCCGACGGGGUUGCUUCCCAAACAUUCCUGUUGGGUGUAGAAGAUUGUUUAUGGCAAAACAAAAUCAAAGUAAACUUGAAAAUUGUUAAA